GAUGAACGCUGGCGGCGUGCCUAAUACAUGCAAGUCGAGCGAACAGACGAGGAGCUUGCUCCUCUGUCGUUAGCGGCGGACGGGUGAGUAACACGUGGAUAACCUACCUAUAAGACUGGGAUAACUUCGGGAAACCGGAGAUAAUACCGGAUAAUAUAUUGAACCGCAUGGUUCAAUGGUGAAAGACGGUUUUGCUGUCACUUAUAGAUGGAUCCGCGCCGCAUUAGCUAGUUGGUAAGGUAACGGCUUACCAAGGCAACGAUGCGUAGCCGACCUGAGAGGGUGGUCGGCCACACUGGAGCUGGGACACGGUCCAGACUCCUACGAGAGGCAGCAGUAGGGAAUCGUCCGCAAUGGUCGAAAACCUGACGGAGCAACGCCGCGUGAGUUAUGAAGGUCUUCGGAUCGUAAAACUCUGUUAUGAGGGAAGAACAAAUGUGUAAGUAACUAUGCACGUCUUGACGGUACCUAAUCAGAAAGCCACGGCUAACUACGUG
rnacentral:rRNA from 1 species